rnacentral:rRNA from 1 species
CCUACGGGAGGCAGCAGUGGGGAAUAUUGCACAAUGGGGGAAACGCUGAUGCAGCGACGCCGCGUGGGUGACGGAGUAUUUCGGUAUGUAAAGCCCUAUCAGCAGGGAAGAAGAUGACAGUCCCUGACUAAGAAGCCCCGGCUAACUACGUGCCAGCAGCCGCGGUAAGACGUAGGGGGCAAGCGUUAUCCGGAUUUACUGGGUGUAAAGGGAGCGUAGGUGGCAUGGCAAGCCAGAAGUGAAAACCCGGGGCUUAACGGCGCGGAUUGCUUUUGACACUGUCAGGCUGGAUUGCAGAAGGGGCAGGAGGAAUUCGUGGUGUAGCGGUGAAAUGCGUAGAUAUCAGGAGGAACACCGGUGGCGAAGGCGGCCUGCUGGUCUGUAACUGACACUGAGGCUCGAAAGCGUGGGGAGCAAACAGGAUUAGAUACCCUGGUAGUC